ensembl:lncRNA
AACUUAACUGGACUGAAGGGGGUCCCAGGUAUCAGCAAGGUUUAAAAGCUACCCAGGUGAUUGCAAUGCACAGCCCAGGAGGAGAACCACUGACUUAAGCAAAUCUAAAUGGGGAUUUUGUUCCCCUAACUCAGCAUCCAAACCUGCCUCGCCACACCACAGCCUAUUUGAGAAAAAGCCAGAGGGAUAUGCAGCAGUCUGUGGACUGAGUGGUUUAAUACGCCCCUGUGAAGAUAGUCAGACUGCCAGCAGACCACUCAGGACAUGCUCCUCCUGACCUGCAACUUCCGUGACAGCAUGGGCCUGCUACCUGGACUCAAGACAGAAAAACAGCCCUGCAGGGAAAAGCGGACAUGACUAGCAACAAAGCCUUUUAAUCAAAAUUUCAUGCCGGAGCCCUCUCUACAAAACAGAUAACAGUGGCGCUGCAGUGGUUGGAGCAGAGCUCAGAGAUCUGCAAGAGCUUUGGUGAUAGGAGCUGUUGGCCUAGGUCUCAAUACCAAACACAUGAAAAACGCCACCGAACGCAGACUGAGGACCCUGUCACAGGGCAUGCCUGACUCUUGGUGGAGUAAAAAGAGCAAGGAUUUCACAGGCAAACUGAUUUCAGUGUCAAGUCUCCCACUUGCUCACUGUGUGCACUGAGGAGGUAAUCAAUAUUCCCAAGCCUCAUGUUCUUCACCUGGGGAAGAGUCAUCCCACAGCUGCCAGGUGAGCCUGCUGUGAGGAUUAACUCAGGUACCCUCAGUGAAUGACGGGUCACAGUGCCCAGCACGCAGUAGGGACUCGGGCCGUUUCCUUCUAGGAGGCCCUUGCCGACCUACAUGCUCUUCUGCUAAGACAGACAUGUUCUUAUCUCCUCAGAGGCUAUAAAUUCCAUUUGUCUUCUUAAGUCCAGCUCAUGCCUUUAGCCCUUGAGGGCUGGCACUACUCCCUCAAACAUUUAGCACUUUCUAUUCAGUUAGCACGACACCAAGACCUUAAAAGCAGCUUGAAAAUAAACUUGAUUCCAAAUAUGAUUUAUAAUGUCCCAAGCAACAGCUCAUUUACCCAAGAAAGCUCCAUCAAUUAUUGACAGAUGUACCCUCGGAGGAGAAAUAGCAUAAAGACUUAGGAGACAGAGGAAAAAAGCAUGCUUCAACCCCUUAAGCCAAUUAUCCAAGGUGAUUUUGAGCAUUAAAUCCUUAGAUAUGCUUAAUUUACUGUCCUUGCCUGUAAGCACAGACAGAAGUGUGAAGAGGGAAAAAAAUGCUAAGCAAUUUAGGACUGCUUUUAAAAACAAAGAAAAAGAACAGCAUAGAGGGAAAAAAUACCCAGGAGGCAGUAAGUGAGUGUUGGACACGUGCGGGCUUGUGGGCUGAGCAUCACAGGCUUAAACACGCCUUGCCCUCUCAUUGCAGAGCCAGCCACUCGCCACCUGUCUUUGUUCAGUGCAGAAAUAAUUGCGCUUACCUGCCUCUGACCUAAUAAUUACAGCAGUGCCUGAUUUUAUUCUCAGCAUGUUUAUUGUGGUCAAAUUUCCUCAGUUUUCAGUGCAAAGGCCUUACUAAGGAUGCUAGCAUUAUUUGCUUUAACAUCAAGCUGGUGACAAGGCGAUGUAAGGUUCUGUAAAAAGCCAAGAGGCCAGGGUGCAUGCGGCCUUGGGGGCUUGUAAUCUGCAUUUGACAUGCUGAUGUUCGAAAACCUUGUCAAGCCUACAAGGUUUACGUGUGAGGGAAGAAAGGGAGUGCAUGAGGCCAAUAAAUUUGAGGAUGCUAAUCUAUUUCUCCAUAGUUUUCUCAAAAGGAGAAAAAUAAAAGAGUUUUUUUCUAAAAUGCAAAUUAUAAGGCAAAAGGCAACCAAUUAUGCCUACCUAGCUUUAAUUUGCAUGUACUGAGGAGUAAAUGUGUCCGUGUGUGUGAACACGCACGUAUAUGAGCACUGCAUGUAUGCUGUGGAUGAGUAUGGGUAGAUGGAAGUCAAGAAACACAGGGGCAUGGACAAGAGGUCUAACAUAUAUACAAUUUUUGCAUGAUGAACUGAACAUUUCUAUAUUGAGAAAAUGAAUUCUGCCAUAGGAGACCUGAAAAAUUACUACCCCGACUUAAUGCAAUCUGCGGUUUAAAGGACAGUUAUAGAACACUCUAAAAUUACCUGCUUAUACCCCAUGACCUGGCAGAAUAAUUAUAGGCUAGAUUCUUUCAUCUUUUUUACACUUUUGUUUUAUUAAGAAUUAAGAGAUUCACUGUAUUCGAUUAUUAAAAGCCUGACCUCUUAUAGCAUAUAUUUUCAUCCCAUUAUUAAACUGUGUAUAUAAAAUACAGUAAGCCUUGACUUUGAAUUUUAUAGUUUUAACUUCUAAAUUUUAGAUUCAAAUCAACAUUUGAGUGCCAAUUGGUGCCAGAUACUGUCCAAGUGCUUUUUUUUCUUUUUUGAUGCAAGUGCUUUUAAAGGCACUGCCUCAUUCGAUAGUCUUCCAAUUCCAAUCUAGCACACCUUCCACCGAACUACAACCCUCUAUCUUUGCCUUGUCAUCAAGUCUUUGAGGGAUUUUGAGACAGGGGAGAAGCAGAGGAGCAGUGGCAGCCUUAUUGGUAAUCAAGAAUGGUGUAUCACUGGCUUGCUAUCAGAGGGCUAUGCCCUUAUUCUUUGGGGAUUCCCAUUUCUCUAAAUGUGAAACUGAAGCAAGAAUCCAGGAUCCUUAAUCAACUUGCAAAAAUAUUGUCAGGGAUCUUAAGUACUUUGAACCCCUUUGAGAUUUCCUUUAUAUUCAAGGUGCAACUCUAAGCAAAACAAACCAUCAAUGAACACGUAUCCUUGGACAAUGGAUGAGCUUUUGAUGACUAGUUGUUUCAACAAUGCUGCAGUUGCUUCAGAUCUUGCGUUAGGAGAGAGGAGUAGCCUGGAGCAGGGAGAGUCCUCUCUGGAAUUACCAUCAUCCUUGGAACACAUUCUUAACAUCCUCAAAGGUUCAUUCUUUAAGGGAUGGAAAACUUUUACCCUUGGGGAUCAAACUGGAUGAUGUCAUAUGGUAUCAACAUAUAAAAUGUGAUUACAAAGUAACUUAUUAUCUUGUUAACUUGUAGGCUGUUUUUGAACACAAUUGCAAAAGGGAAUUCCAAAAUAUUUUAGGUAACUAAAGGAUCCUGGAACAGAAAAAAAAUAAUUAGUGGAAAAAUUGGUAAAAUCCAAAUAAAGUCUGUACAUUAGUUGAUA